CCUACGGGGGGCAGCAGUGGGGAAUAUUGGACAAUGGGGGGAACCCUGAUCCAGCCAUGCCGCGUGUGUGAAGAAGGCCCUCGGGUUGUAAAGCACUUUCAGUGGGGAAGAACGCCUGGUGGUUAAUACCCAUCAGGAAAGACAUCACUCACAGAAGAAGCACCGGCUAACUCCGUGCCAGCAGCCGCGGUAAUACGGAGGGUGCGAGCGUUAAUCGGAAUUACUGGGCGUAAAGCGCGCGUAGGUGGCUUGAUAAGCCGGUUGUGAAAGCCCCGGGCUCAACCUGGGAACGGCAUCCGGAACUGUCAAGCUAGAGUGCAGGAGAGGAAGGUAGAAUUCCCGGUGUAGCGGUGAAAUGCGUAGAGAUCGGGAGGAAUACCAGUGGCGAAGGCGGCCUUCUGGACUGACACUGACACUGAGGUGCGAAAGCGUGGGUAGCAAACAGGAUUAGAUACCCUAGUAGUC
rnacentral:rRNA from 1 species